UCUUCGGAAUUGGAAGCUACCGCGGCGACGAGAUGGAGAAUCGAUGCUUCCCAUCGCUUCUCCUGCUAUUCUACCUCUCCUUCUCCAUCGUCGAUCCAGCCUCCGCCUUCCUUGAUCCUGCUCUCGGAACCACUCGCGUCGUCUUCCAGAUGCAGAUUUUGAUGAAACGAUUUUGAUGUAGAUGCAGAUUUUUAUGAAACGAUUUUGAUGUAGAUGCAGAUUUUGAUGUAGAUGCAGAUUAUGAUGCUAUUCUGGGUGUGAAACGAUUCUGUAAUAAAAAGAAUAUUGUAUCCAAACUAUUGCUGAAAAUAAGCAGAUGCAGAUUCAUGUUUAAA